UACGAAGGUGACAAGCGUUGUUCGGAAUCAUUGGGCGUAAAGCGCACGUAGGCGGGUUUGAAAGUCGAUUGUGAAAACCCUGGGCUCAACCCGGGACCUGCAGUCGAAACUUCAAGUCUUGAAUGCUCGAGAGGAUGGUGGAAUUCCAGGAGUAGUAGUGAAAUGCGUAGAUAUCUGGAGGAACACCGGUGGCGAAGGCGGCAUCCUGGACCGGCAUUGACGCUGAGGCGCGAAAGCUAGGGGAGCAAACGGG
rnacentral:rRNA from 1 species